GAUGAAGAACGCAGCGAAAUGCGAUAAGUAAUGUGAAUUGCAGAAUUCAGUGAAUCAUCGAAUCUUUGAACGCACAUUGCGCCCACCAGUAUUCUGGCGGGCAUGCCUGUCUGAGCGUCAUUUCAACCCUCAUGCCCCUAGGGCGUGGUGUUGGGGAUCGGCCAAAGCCCGCGAGGGACGGCCGGCCCCUAAAUCUAGUGGCGGACCCGUCGUGGCCUCCUCUGCGAAGUAGUGAUAUUCCGCAUCGGAGAGCGACGAGCCCCUGCCGUUAAACCCCCAACUUUCCAAGGUUGACCUCAGAUCAGGUAGGAAUACCCGCUGAACUUAAGCAUAUCAAUAAGCGGAGGA
rnacentral:misc_RNA from 1 species